rnacentral:rRNA from 1 species
UACGAAGGGGGCUAGCGUUGUUCGGAAUUACUGGGCGUAAAGCGUGCGCAGGCGGCUUCUCAAGUCAGGGGUGAAAGCCCAGAGCUCAACUCUGGAAUUGCCUUUGAGACUGAGUGGCUUGAGUACGAGAGAGGUGAGUGGAAUUCCCAGUGUAGAGGUGAAAUUCGUAGAUAUUGGGAGGAACACCAGUGGCGAAGGCGGCUCACUGGACCGGUUCUGACGCUGAUGCGCGAAAGCGUGGGGAGCAAACGGG